GACGAACGCUGGCGGCGUGCUUAACACAUGCAAGUCGAACGGACCCUUUGGGGUUAGUGGCGAACGGGUGAGUAACACGUGGGUGAUCUGCCCUGCACUUUGGGAUAAGCCUGGGAAACUGGGUCUAAUACCGGAUAGGACUACGCACUGCAUGGUGUGUGGUGGAAAGCUUUUGCGGUGUGGGAUGGGCCCGCGGCCUAUCAGCUUGUUGGUGGGGUGAUGGCCUACCAAGGCGACGACGGGUAGCCGGCCUGAGAGGGUGACCGGCCACACUGGGACUGAGAUACGGCCCAGACUCCUACGGGAGGCAGCAGUGGGGAAUAUUGCACAAUGGGCGCAAGCCUGAUGCAGCGACGCCGCGUGAGGGAUGACGGCCUUCGGGUUGUAAACCUCUUUCGCCAGGGACGAAGCGCAAGUGACGGUACCUGGAGAAGAAGGACCGGCCAACUACGUGCCAGCAGCCGCGGUAAUACGUAGGGUCCGAGCGUUGUCCGGAAUUACUGGGCGUAAAGAGCUCGUAGGUGGUUUGUCGCGUUGUUCGUGAAAACUCACAGCUUAACUGUGGGCGUGCGGGCGAUACGGGCAGACUGGAGUACUGCAGGGGAGACUGGAAUUCCUGGUGUAGCGGUGGAAUGCGCAGAUAUCAGGAGGAACACCGGUGGCGAAGGCGGGUCUCUGGGCAGUAACUGACGCUGAGGAGCGAAAGCGUGGGGAGCGAACAGGAUUAGAUACCCUGGUAGUCCACGCCGUAAACGGUGGGUACUAGGUGUGGGUUUCCUUCCUUGGGAUCCGUGCCGUAGCUAACGCAUUAAGUACCCCGCCUGGGGAGUACGGCCGCAAGGCUAAAACUCAAAGGAAUUGACGGGGGCCCGCACAAGCGGCGGAGCAUGUGGAUUAAUUCGAUGCAACGCGAAGAACCUUACCUGGGUUUGACAUGCACAGGACGCCGGCAGAGAUGUCGGUUCCCUUGUGGCCUGUGUGCAGGUGGUGCAUGGCUGUCGUCAGCUCGUGUCGUGAGAUGUUGGGUUAAGUCCCGCAACGAGCGCAACCCUUGUCUCAUGUUGCCAGCACGUUAUGGUGGGGACUCGUGAGAGACUGCCGGGGUCAACUCGGAGGAAGGUGGGGAUGACGUCAAGUCAUCAUGCCCCUUAUGUCCGGGGCUUCACACAUGCUACAAUGGCCGGUACAAAGGGCUGCGAUGCCGUGAGGUGGAGCGAAUCCUUUCAAAGCCGGUCUCAGUUCGGAUCGGGGUCUGCAACUCGACCCCGUGAAGUCGGAGUCGCUAGUAAUCGCAGAUCAGCAACGCUGCGGUGAAUACGUUCCCGGGCCU
rnacentral:rRNA from 1 species